CCUACGGGAGGCAGCAGUGGGGAAUAUUGGACAAUGGGGGGAACCCUGAUCCAGCGACGCCGCGUGAGUGAAGAAGUAUCUCGGUAUGUAAAGCUCUAUCAGCAGGGAAGAAAGAAAUGACGGUACCUGACCAAGAAGCCCCGGCUAACUACGUGCCAGCAGCCGCGGUAAUACGUAGGGGGCAAGCGUUAUCCGGAUUUACUGGGUGUAAAGGGAGCGUAGACGGUAAUGAAAGUCUGGAGUGAAAUGCAGGGGCUCAACCCUUGAACUGCUUUGGAAACUGUAUGACUGGAGUGCAGGAGAGGUAAGUGGAAUUCCUAGUGUAGCGGUGAAAUGCGUAGAUAUUAGGAGGAACACCAGUGGCGAAGGCGGCUUACUGGACUGUAACUGACGUUGAGGCUCGAAAGCGUGGGGAGCAAACAGGAUUAGAUACCCGUGUAGUC
rnacentral:rRNA from 1 species